rnacentral:rRNA from 1 species
GAUGAACGCUGGCGGCGUGCCUAAUACAUGCAAGUCGAGCGAAUGGAUUAAGAGCUUGCUCUUAUGAAGUUAGCGGCGGACGGGUGAGUAACACGUGGGUAACCUGCCCAUAAGACUGGGAUAACUCCGGGAAACCGGGGCUAAUACCGGAUAACAUUUUGAACCGCAUGGUUCGAAAUUGUAAGGCGGCUUCGGCUGUCACUUAUGGAUGGACCCGCGUCGCAUUAGCUAGUUGGUGAGGUAACGGCUCACCAAGGCAACGAUGCGUAGCCGACCUGGGAGGGUGAUCGGCCACACCGGGACUGAGAAACGGCCCAGACUCCGACGGGAGGCAGCAGUAGGGAAUCUUCCGCAAUGGACGAAGUCUGACGGAGCAACGCCGCGUGAGUGAUGAAGGCUUUCGGGUCGUAAAACUCUGUUGUUAGGGAAGAACAAGUGCUAGUUGAAUAAGCUGGCACCUUGACGGUACCUAACCAGAAAGCCACGGCUAACUACGUGCCAGCCGCAGUAAAAC